rnacentral:rRNA from 1 species
AGCGAACGCUGGCGGCAGGCCUAAUACAUGCAAGUCGAACGGCUCUUCGGAGUUAGUGGCGGACGGGUGAGUAACACGUGGGAACGUGCCUUUAGGUUCGGAAUAACUCAGGGAAACUUGUGCUAAUACCGAAUGUGCCCUUCGGGGGAAAGAUUUAUCGCCUUUAGAGCGGCCCGCGUCUGAUUAGCUAGUUGGUGAGGUAAAGGCUCACCAAGGCUACGAUCAGUAGCUGGUCUGAGAGGAUGACCAGCCACAUUGGGACUGAGACACGGCCCAAACUCCUACGGGAGGCAGCAGUGGGGAAUCUUGCGCAAUGGGCGAAAGCCUGACGCAGCCAUGCCGCGUGGAUGAUGAAGGUCUUAGGAUUGUAAAAUCCUUUCACCGGUGAAGAUAAUGACUGUAGCCGGAGAAGAAGCCCCGGCUAACUUCGUGCCAGCAGCCGCCGUAACAC